rnacentral:snRNA from 1 species
GGAUGUGAGGGCAAUUUGACUGUGACAUCUGUCACUCUCUUGAUCACCAGGGCUGAUUCAGCUGAUCUGACUGCCUAGGCGGUUGUUCCCUACCUCCCUCACUGCUCCAUGUAGAUCCUUCCUGAAGCUGCUCAGUCAAAGAGGACCAUGUUCCCCAAAUAGAGACAGAACUCUCUUAUCUUAUGGCUUG